UGUCGAUGAAGAGCGCAGCAAACUGUGUGAUUAAUGUGAACUGCAACCUGCCAUGAACAUCGACAACUUGAUUGCACAUUGCGGCCAUGGGUUAGCCUGUGGCCACGCCUGUCCGAGAGUU
rnacentral:rRNA from 1 species